rnacentral:rRNA from 1 species
GAUGAACGCUGGCGGCGUACCUAACGCAUGCAAGUCGAACGGGGAUUGAGUAGCAAUAUUUGAUUCGAGUGGCAAACGGGUGAGUAACACGUAGGGAUCUACCUUGAAGUGGGGAACAACGGACCGAAAGGUUCGCUAAUACCGCAUGGGGUCGUGAGACCAAAGGGGAAUUCUAACGAAUUCUUCGCUUUGAGAGGAGCCUGCGUUCGAUCAGGUAGUUGGUGAGGUAACGGCUCACCAAGCCGAUGACCGAUAGCUGUUCUGAGAGGAAGAUCAGCCACACUGGGACUGUGACACGGCCCAGACUCCUACGGGAGGCAGCAGCGAGGAAUAUUGCACAAUGGACGCAAGUCUGAUGCAGUAACGCCGCGUGGGGAAGAAGACCU